rnacentral:lncRNA from 1 species
GCGUGAGCCACCAUGCCUGGCCUAAUUACUGUAGGUUUCUAAUAAGCCUUUAAGUAAAAUAAUGUCAGUCCUUCAAAUUUGUUCUCCUUCAAUAUUGCAUUUCUGUUCUGGUACUUUUACUUGUAUGUUAACUUUAGAAUCAGCUUAUUGAUAUCCACAAAAUAACUUGCUGGAAUUUUUAUUUGGAUUGUUUUGAAUCUAAAAUUCAAAUUAGAAAAAAGUGACAUACUGAAAACAUUGAGUUUUUCUAUCCACUAACAUGAAAUGCCUCUCCAUUUAAUUUUUCUUUAGUUUUUAAAAUCAGAGUUCUGUAAAUUUUCUCACAUAGACUUUGCACACAUUUUUAGAUUUAUAUUAAGUACUUCAUUUUGAGAGAGCAGGUAUUUUCAAUGGUAAUGUGUUUUUAAUUUCAAAUCCCAUUUGUUUAUUAUUGUUAUAUAGGAAAGCAGUUGACUAAUUUUUAUUGUGGUAAUAAAACACAUAACAUUACAUUAUUAAAUGUAUUUUGUUAAUAUUUUUAGUAUAUAGUUCAAUAGUGUUUAUUAUUACAUGGUUGCAUAGCAAAUUGCUACAACUUUUUCAUCUUACAAAACUGAAACUCUAUACCCACUAAAUACUAAUUCCUCUUACACCCUCCAUCACCCAGUUCCCACUCAUGACAAAAACCUUUCCACUUUCUGCCUCUGUGAUCUUUAUUUCUUUCAAUACUUCAUAUGAAUGGAAUCAUUCAGUACUUGACUUUUUGUGACUGGCUUAUUUCACUUAGCAUAACGUUCUGGAGGUUCAUCCAUAUGGUAGUAUGUGACAGAAUUUUUUUCUUUUUUAGGGCUGAAUAACAUAACUUUGUGUGUAUAUAUCAUGUUUCUUCAUCUAUUCAUCUGUCAGUGAACAUUUGGGUUGCUUCUACCUCUUGGCCAUUGUGAAUAAUGCUGAGAUGAACAUGAGUGUGCAAAUAUUUCUGUGAGAUCCUACUUUAAAUUCUUUUGGAUAUAUGACUAGAAGUGGGAUUUCCAUAUCACAUGCUAAUUCCAUUUUCUAAUUUUUUGAGGAAACUUCAUAUUCUUUUCAUAGUACUUGAAUUAAUUUAAAUUCCCACCAACAGUGUGCAAGUGUUUCAAUUUCUCCACGUUUUAACACUUGUAAUUUUCUGUAAUUUUUAUACUGACAAUUUAUUUCUAAAAUUGGUAUUUUCUUAAUUUCUUUUGCUGAUUGGUCUUUGUUAGUGUACAGAAACACUUAAUAUUUCGUCUGUUAAUUUUGUAUCCUGAAACAUUGCUGAAAUUGUUUGUUGUAACAGUUUUUCGUGGAUUUUUUUUAGGUUUUUCUACAUACUAAAUUAUAUCAUCUGCACACAGAUAUAAUUUUACAUUUCCUUGUCCAAUUUGUAUGCUUUUUAUUUAUUUUCCUUUUUCUUUAUUUUUCUUCUCUGCAUAGGAUUGAUAGUUUGCAAUGUUUUUAUCAUGAAUAGUGUGGAUUUUGUGAAAUGGUUUUUCUGUGUCUAUUAAUAUGAUCAUAUGAUUUUUUUUCUUUGGCCUGUUGAUGUGAUGAAUUAAAUGAAUUCGUUUUCAAAUGUUGAAAUUUCCUCGCAUACCUGAGAAAAAUUCCAUUUGGUCAUGGUUUUCAAUUAUGUAUACAUUAUUAGAUUUGAUUUACUAAAAUGUUGUUGACAAUUUUGCAUCUAUGUACGGGAGAUAUUAGUCUCUAAUUUCCUUUUUUUAAGAAUGUCUUCAUCUGAUUUUGGUAUUACGGUGAUCCUCUUCUUAUAGAAUGGGUUAAGAAGUGCUCUCUCUGCUUUUAUCUUCUGAACAAGAUUGCAGAGAAUUAGUAAAAUUUCUUCCCUAAAUGUUUCCUGGAAUGCACCUGUGAAUCCGUAUGAGCCUGGUGAUUUCUGUUUUGAAGGGCAUUUAUUAUUGAUUCUAUUUCAUUAGUAGAUAUAGGCUAUCCAGAGUGUCUACUUCUUUUUGUGUCACUUUUGGUAGAUUGUGUCUUUCAGGGAAUAGGUAGAUGUCAUCUAGGUUAACGAAUGUGUUGACACAGUACAGCUAUUUCAAAUAUUCUUUUAUUAUCUUUUUAAUAUCCAUGAGAUCUUCAGUAAUAUACCCUCUUUCAUUUAUGAUAUUGGUAAUUGCUCCCUUCUCUUUUUAUCUUAGUUAGCCUGGCUAGAGAUUUAUUAAUUUUAUUGAUCUUAAUGAAUCAGACUUUAGUGUCAUUGAUUUUCUCUAUUGAUUUUUUAAUUUUCAUUUUUAUUGAUUUCUGAUCUACAGUUUAUUAUGUCUUUCAUUCUGCAUACUUUAGAUCUAAUUUGUUCUUUUUCUUUCCAGUUUUCUACGGUGUAACCUUAGACUGUUAAUUUAAGAUCAUUCUUCUUUUAUAAAUUCUUCUUUUAUAAAUCUACAAAUUCCCUCUAAGUAUGCUUUUGUUAUUUCCCAUGAAUUUAGUUGUGUUUUCAUUUUGAUUUAAUUCAAAAUAUGUAUUAAUUUGUCCUGAGAUUUCUUCUUUGACUCAUGUGUUAUUUAGAAGUGUGUUGCUUAAUCUCUAAGUAUUUUGGAAUUUUCCAACUAUCAUUUUUAUUGAUUUCUAGUUUAAUUCCAUUGUGAUUUCAGAGUAGGCAUUGAAUAAUUUAUAUUAUUUUAAUUCUGUGAAGCUGUUUCCAUGGUCCAGAAUAUGGUCUAUUUUGAUGAUUAUUUAAUGUGACCUUGAGAAUAAUAUGUAUUCUACUGUGUUAGAUAAAGUAGUCUACAGAUAUCAAUUUUAUCGAGUUGGUUUAUCAUGCUAUUGAGUUCAACCAUGUUGUUACUGAAAGUCUGACUAUGUUACACCUUUUAAAGUUGUCUAUGGUUCUUAGAUACUUUGUUCUUUUUUUCUUCUUUGCUUUUCAAUUUUGGAAGUUCCUACUGACAUCUUCAAGUUCAGAGAUUCCUUCCUCACUCAUGUUCAGUGUACUAAUGCCCAUCAAAGGCUUUCUUUGUUUCUGUGUUUUUUAUCUCUAGCCGUUUUUUAAAAUUCUUUCUUAGAGUUUUCAUUUCUCUUUCUGCACUAUUUAUCUGUUAUCACGUUGUCUACUUUGUACAUUAGAGCCCUUAUUAAUCUUAGUAUUUUUAAAUUGAUGGUCUGAUAAUUCCGACAUCCCUGCCAUUUUUGAGACUGGUUCUGAAUCUUGCUCUUUCUUUAAACUGUGUUUAAAUUGCCUUGCAAUUUUUUUCUGGAUAUCCUGACAUGAAGGAGGGCACAGGGAACUGCAGUAAAUAAGUCUUUAGGGAUGUGGUGGUGAAGUGGAGAGAAGGGGCUGUUUUGUAGUCCUAUAAUUAACUUGCAGUCUUUUUAGUGAGCCUAUGCCCCUGAACCAUAAAAUUCAUCAGUGCUUCUCAGUCCUCCUCCCACUCAAAAGUAGGACCAGAUGGCUGAGGCGGAGGGGGUGGCUAGAGUUGUGUAUUUCCCUUCUCUCAUUUGAAAGGCUAGAACAGGCUGAAUUUGACUAUUUCCUUUCACCCAUGUGAAAGCUAGAGAGGGCUGGAUUUGCUUUAUGUACUUCCUCAGGUCAGCUGGGCUCUGAUAAAAUCGCAAUAGGUUACGCUCUGGUGAAAUAUUUUCUCUUGAGGGCAGGCCUCGUUAAGAAGAAUAGAAUGCUCUGGGGUAUUUAAAAGUGAGUACAUUUUUACCAUGCUGGAAACACCAGGGAAUUUUCUCGCAUCUGCACUGUAAAAACCUGAUAGAGAGCUCUAAGAAGUAAAGCUCACAAAAGUGUCAGGGCCCUCCUAUUACUUGGUUCCAUAGAGUUUUCAACUCUCCAACUUUUCCAAUCUAAGCCUCCAGCAACUCAUCAAUUACAGUUCAGUUUUCCCUACUAUGUCAUUGGUUUCUAAGGAUGUUUUUGAUUAUGGGUUUCUGUCCUGGUAAGUUGUAAUUUUUUGCAUCCACUUGUCUGUCUCUCCAUUUUGGGGUUUAGUGGUUUGCCCUGUGACCUCAUUUCUGUGAUGACUCUAAGAAGAGUUGUUGCUUUUACGGUUUGUUCCGUUUUUUACUUACUGUUAGAACAAAGACUUUCAAAUUUCCUACAUGCUAAACUGAAAACUAGAAGUCCAUAUUGUUAUUUGAAAGGAAAAAAAAAAUUUCAUAUCCAAGUAGGAGAAUAAAACUUUGAAAGCAAUUCUGAAUCCAAUUCUACAGUGUACUAUUGGCUUCUCUCAGUUCAGACUAGAACCUUUUUCAUGAAAUUUUUUAUUUCACUGGUUUUCUUUUCCAUUUCCAUGACCUCCACAAGGCACCUUGUUUUUGCUGGGUUCUAUUACCUGUUAUUGCCUCUUCACUUCUUGAGUGAACAGGGUAGACUUCAGUCGCCUGCUUAAAUAUUAAUUUCUCCAGUCUUUGAGCCAGUUUACAUAUUGAUGCAUCUUGCCCUCUCUACCAUUAUGAAGAUACCUGAAAUUACUGUGAGCUUGCUGAAAAUUUCAGCUUAAAAUAAUUUUUCUUUAGCAAUUGCCUGUUUUUCUGAGUUAGAAUGAACAGCAUGAAUCUUUGAAAUUGAAGAACAUGACAUGCAUACUUUAUAGUGUUUUGGUAAAGCUCUCUAACUCAUCUUCAUUUUGUCUACAUGACAGGCUUUUACCUUGAAAAGAUGUCCACAAACUCUGCUUGUUCACAAAAAUUCAGUAAAAUCUUGACAUCAAGUUUAUUUCUUUCUAUAUACAGAAGAGUAAGUUUCAGAAAAAGAAAAGUUAAAGAAAAGGCACGUAAAGCCGUAAUCUCUUAUCUUUUCUAAGAUGGUGGUAUCAGAAUGCAUUACCCUCCUUCUGAAAAGUCAUGAUAUCCUAAAACUGCAUGAAUACACUUUAGAAAAACGCUGCAGUUCUCGAUAGCUGCUUGCCUUGUGUCUAGAAUGUAACAGUAUGCUGCCUGUUUACCUCAGGCCAAAGUUGUCAUUUUCACUAUCUGGGCCACUACAUUUCCUCUGGCUAGAGGCCUGUCUUGUAUGUACUAGGGACUUCUGUUAAUGCUGGUGUGUGCAGUUACUCUACACUGAAUUGGAUUUUUGUCAUCUAUUUGAGGAUUACAUGCAUGAUAUGCCUAGUCAUUUUUUUCUUCAUUAUGUUACACCAAAUCUGAACUGAAAACCCUCCACAUUGUAAUGUGUGAGGCCCAAUUAUUCAGAUAGCAAACAGCAAUUAUAUAUAGAUGUAGGUAUUGAUAAGGAAAUGUAAAAUUCAGGGAACUUUCAGGCUAGGUCACAAAUUAAUAAAUUCCAGGGAAUUCAAGAUCAAUGAGAGAUUAAUAUUUACAUGAAUAGUAUUGUUUUUUGGAAACAAACAUGUUUCACCUUGAUUUAUGUUGCUAAAAUGUGCCUAUGGACUUGAAGAUUAUACAAUGGCUAAGUUGAGUUAGGUGAAGCACCAUGCAUUUGGCAAAGUGUGCUCAUUAACGUCCUCAUCCUGAAUUGCUUGUAACACUGUCACUCUCUGGAUAAGUAAAUGGAAGCACAGGCAGGCAAGCAAUGGCUAAGAAGCAGGAUGCCCAUGUCAAACUCUCUCCCUCAAAGUAAAGGGGAAGCAAGUGGUUUAAGUAAGGAGUCCAAAUGAAGACAGAUUUACUUAAGUGUAAAAUGUGAAUUCUGAACUAGAUGAACAUAAAGCCCUGUUCAGCUUUGUGAAUCUACGUUUCUAUGAUUAUCUUGAGUUAUUAAAAGUAAAUUAUGGUAGAUCAUAAUUAAUAAAGGGCCAUCUGUAACACGAAAUCCUCCUUUUUAAUUGGGCUGGGUGAGUUGCCCAAGAUAUUUAUUUUAGGGGAGAUAGGAGAUGUGGAAGAAACUGAAAACUGCUCUAUCCCCUCUCCAGGCACAGUUUCUCAAACUUAGCUGCAAAUAAAAAAUAGAAGGCCUGAUUUUAUUCAGUGCUAAAUUAGGGUGUUGAUAUAAGAUUAGGUGACUAGUAAUGCAAAAGUGUGAAUAAAGUAAAAGACCUUCCUAAUUGUAUGAUUUACAAUAUUUAACAAUCAAAUUACCAGCAAGUAAUUUUUCUGGAGGAGAUUAAAAGCUAAUUCUAUUUGCCAUUACUGAAUGAGUGCUGAUACAGGCCAACCACUAUUUUAAUAUUUUACAAGACUUACUUAUUUAAUCUUCAUAACAAUCUGAUAGAAUAGACAUAAUUAUUAUUCCCAUUUUAUAAAUGAGCAAAGUUUUGCCCAGAAAGAUAACAUUACCAAGAUCGCACAAGCAGAAGUGAGAGAGUCAGGUAUUACAAGCAGAUGCAUUGCUUAAAUAUUAGCUCCUCACUUCUGACAGUUGAUCUGAUACCCUUUGGAUGGCCUAGCAUCUGGUGGACCAGGCAUAUCAAUUCAGCGAGUGCGGUUUUCUGCCUAGAUAUUGUCUGUAGUGUAGAGGAGAAGACAAACUUGCCUGGAGGCUUUCUUCUAGAAUCAGUAGCAAUUUCUUAUCCACAAAAAAGAGAGACUACUCAUUCCUGGCCAUGGAGAUGAGAAAGUGUGCAUCUUAGCCUCUACCACUGACAGUAAAAGAUAACCCGAUAUCCAGAAACAUGAGAAAAACAACCUUGAGCAUAUUCCAUCAUAAACAUUUCACUGCCUUUAAUUUGAAACUUUUUAAGCUACUUGAGUAUUGUCAUCACCCUUUCAACCCCACUUCCUCCACCUUAGUGGGAACUACAUAGUCUAGCAUGGCAUAAAAAUCAAGUUUUAAUAGCAGGUAGAAUUGCAGAUUCCAGAUUUGCCCAUCAACUUGCCAGAGCUGCUGAAUAGUUUAUGACUCACACUGAGUUACACAUCUUGGCCACCGCUUUAUAUAUUCUAAUCUUGAAUCUAUUAACAUUCUCUUUUUCUGGACUGGCCUAAAAUGCCUGCCAUCUGAAUUAUAUUUUUAGGUUCAACAGCAAAGUUUUACUCUGUUAAAAAAAUACUUAUUGAGAACCCAUGGCUUGUGUAAAACAAUGCUUAAUGAAAAGGUAUAUAGAGAUAAAUAACUACAUUUAAGUUCUCAGUGAAUUUACAGUACAAUGUCUUAUCUCCACUCUACCACUGUUAACACACAUCCAUUAUUUGGGGACAAUAACAACAGCAGCCACAACACAACAGUAACUGUUAAGUAUGUAUUAAGAAUUUACUAUGAGCUAGAUAUUAUUACAAAUAUUUUGCAAAAUUUAUCUUGAUAAAUUUUCAUAAUAACCAAAUAAAUAUGUUGUAUUACCCUGAUUUUAUAAAUGAGGCAUCAGAAAGAUGUGGCUAUAAGUAAAUAAAAUAAAUUUAAAUAAAUAAAAUUUAAAAUAAUAAAUGAGGAAACUCAGGAACAGAAAAAUUGGAUAAUUUGGCCAAGAUCACCAGCCCAAACUCCUAAACACUGAGGAAAAUAGUAGCAUGGCCAGGGAGAGAGGAGUAUGUUUUCAUAAUCUUAGAAUCACGUAGAAACCAAGAUUCAGUUUUUAAAUAUGAGAACGCUCACUUUGGAAAUUCUAAGAGAGUGGUGUGGAGGGCUAGAGAUAUAGCGUAACCAUGUCUUAGCUAAGUAAAGGGGUUAGUUCAGACUUGAGUAUCAUGAAAGGAAUAAACUGCAAGGUGCACUGAAGACUUGCCUGUGUGGGCAAGUGGAAUGAGCACGUAGCUAGUUUUUUGGACAGUCCAAGGCACCUUGGGAGCAAUUGACAAAGAUUACUUUUCUAUACACACCUAAUGUUUUAGCUUAUUUGUAAUGCUGUCUUUUAACAUUUCUCCUGUACUGCCUCUCGGGACUACAUUUUAAAAUUUAGAAAAUAAAAUAAAUCACUAUUCACAAUGAACAGCCCUAUAAAAUCCACUCUUUGAGUUCACUUUUUCCUCUGAUUGUUCUUGCUGACCUUGGGAUACUCUUACAUGACUAGUUUUGAGUUUGAUGGUUGGGUCCGUAAAUGCACCACGAAGUCAGUUCUUGCACAUUGUACACAUUUUCAAAUAAAAUGUUCAGCUCUGCUUGGCAGUGCUGUUGUUUCUGGUGUGCUUAUCUCCUUCAGCAAGAAACAGGUGAGUUUGCAUUUACCCCUAUGUCAGGAAUUACAUGUGGAUGUUUGAGAUAAAUGGCACCAUAGCUUUGAUCUCCACCUCCUUCCAGUGGCAGACUGAGCAACUGGCUAACCUCUAUCUGCACCCGGUUCCUUACCCUGUGAAUUUCUAACAAACACUAAAGCCUUAUUUUAUAGAGGUUCAUGUGCUCUACUUUGUACAACAUAUGUGGCAAAUAGUUUUUUGUUUUACUAAUAACUUUACUCAACUUAUUAGUUUUAAGUAGAUGGAAAGCAACAUGUCAAUCAUGUGGAAAUAGUCAUGUGAUUUGAUAAGUCAACCAGUCAUGUUGACCUGCUGAAUCAUUUUUUUAGGAUAUUUUAUUAAAUUAUAGUACAAGUGGUUCUCAUUUUUCCACUGUUUUUAAUCAGGUCAAACCCCAAAAUCUUUUAAGAAACAUAAAAAAUAAGUAUACACAUUUAAUUAUCAUUUUAUGUCACCUGAGACCUGCAAUUUUUUAAAUUUCCCAGUAUUCAUUGAAUGUGUCACCAUGGAAUCAGAGAAAAUUAUUAAAUUAAGCAUCUUAUUAGUUACAAAUGUGUCUAGAAUUCACGGCAAAUAUAAUUUUAGGUUUGAAAUCACAGUGAUGCUGAAGACAGCAUUAUUCCUCCUUCACCUUCAUCUGAAAAUAGAUUGCUUCAGGGAGUUUGAAGAAUAAAAUAUGGAAAAAUGUGUUGUGUCAAUUUCCACAAGAUAAGCAAGGAUAUUAAAUGUAGCCUGAUUUGAGUAAUAAAUCUUUUUUGUACUUAACAAAAUGCAUCUUCCUUGUUAGGAUCCUUCAAGUUUUCUUCUGGCCAUUUCCUAAAUCUACUUCUUAUAAUGUAUGAAUUGAGAAUGCUGAAAUCUCCAAAUAGACCAUUAAAAGACAUACAUUGAAAAUAAAUGGCCUUGAAAUAUUUGGAUUAAAACUUAAAUCUCCCAUAGUAAAUUAAAUUAUUCCUCCGAUCUUCACAUUGCUUUCGGUAAUUGAAUCUCAUAGAAUAGAAGUUGAUUGUGGCAAUAUAUGGGCAUUGGAACAAUAUGUAAAAAGCAAUAAAACUAAAAAUUAAUCCACCUUCAUAUUUGGAAGUCUGUAGAAACAGACAAGGAGUUCGCUAAGUCACAAAAAUUAACUCAAAUGAGUCAGAGACAAAUAUUAUGUUCCAAGAAUAAUACCACGAUGCAGAGGAAAAUAUAGAUAGAAACUCUGUCAGAAACAAACUUUUAAAUUCUUGUUAUUUACAGUGUUUCCUGUGAACUAAGAAUCAAAGAUGUAGUGUUUCUAAAUGUUCUCCAUCCCUCCAGAUACCAAUCUUCAGGACUGGGAACAAGAAAUUAGACAGAAAUUGGGAAUUUCUGCAACCAUGUUAUUCUGAAAAUACGCCCAAGAUUUCUCAGAUUCUUUACAAAUUGUUAUGAAUAUCUUUUUUCAAUGUCUAAUAAAUACAAAAUUUUGAGUGUAGUGGUAUUUACAAGGACCUGUAGUGUAGGGUGAAUAUUUAAAUACUGGAAAUCACCAGUAAUCCUUAUUGGGCAGUAUUUGCAUAAUGUAACAUUAGGAUCAUCUAAGCAAGUUAAACGGCUCUAACACAGUAUCACGUGUUUAACUCGCUAUAUUAAGGUCUUAUUUUGUUUCCUAAACUUGCAUUUUUGGUCACCUUAUGUGCAAGAAUUACUCAUUAGCUGAAGAUAGGACCAUAAACAUCUGCUUAUAACAUGGCAAGAGCUACAGGUAAGACUGAGGAAAUCAUGAUCAUUUCUCUCCUGCCAACUCACGAAAAUGGUCACUUUAACCUUAGACCUUGCAUGUCAGCUUUGCUUCCUCCAAACCAGUUAAGUCUCUGUUAAUAUUCAAGCUUUAAUGCUCGCAGAAUAAUCAUUGUCCUGAUUUCUCAACUAAUUUUUUCUUGACAUCAAAAAUUGAGAAAAAAAUACAAAUUUCCUAAAAAAUAGAAAAAUCUACAUGGAGAUAUUAAAAGAUAAUAUACAUUUUUUACAGUAUAACUCUGAUAUUAGGAUUGUUGGGAUUAUGGGUUUAGUUUUUAUUUAAUAUUAUUUGGUAAUAUUAUAUCAACUUUGCAAUAGUAAAGGCUUGCCCUUACUGAGAUACUCUUAAAAAUUGUUUAAAAAACUAUAAGGCUAUUUAUUGAGAUAGUAAAUUAUAAAUAUUGAUAUAUGCUGCAUGAAAUGAGGUUCAGGCAAAAUUUAAGUGAGUGAUUACAUUACCUCAAACAUAGCUCUUUCUUACAUUAAAGAUCUUUCUUACAUUAAAGAUCUCCCAGCCAAUCAAUCCUUGUGGCUCUGUCCUUUUACCCUUUAAGAACUGCCAUAAAGGAUAAGAGGAAGCCUGAAUUUACUGCUUCAACCUGUAGUGAUUUUCUACCCUAAAUCUUAUAUCCUUUUGGGACUCAUAUCUUUAGCCAUUAAAACAACAACAACAACAACAACAAAAACCUCAGAAUGUCCACUUUUUCAGACGAUUUUAACUAACCAAUAACCUACCAAGAUAUUACAAAAUGGCAGGGACCUACAUUAAACUCCUGUGAUGUUUUGCUGCAUGUGCUGCAAUCCCCUAAUGUAGAUGUAAAAUAAAAACUCAGUAAGGAUUAGUCAAUAGAGUCAGAUUGUCUGAUAAAAUAGACUAUAGUUUUCUUGAUAAUUUGCACAGUGUUUUUAAUGAUUUCAUAAAAUUUUGACUUAGAAAAAAAUAAGGGCUCUACUUACUGAAUUAAACAGAAUCUCAAUUUAAUUGGCUGCCCAUCAGAUGACCUCCUUCUUAGUCUCAUCCUUGUUCCUGUUCUAAUAUGAAAUUCCUGCCAGUAUUUUCUUGAACAUGUUCUUUUUUAUCCUCUGAAAUCUGUAUGCCUCCACCUUUAAACUGGAGAUUUCAAAAAAAGUCUUCCUUUCUCUGUUAUCAUAAGUUUUUAAGAAUUGCAAAGUACCCAGAUUGCCUCUAUAUUAAAGUAAAAUAUAAAUUUCAUGUCAUAGAGCCAUACAAAAAUGACAGUCAUUUAGUUGUUUAGUUGCUCUGGUAGCUUACAAUGCGUUGGUUCUCACUGUAUCUCAAUGAGUUACAUAGGCUUCACUUUUAGUAUACAUGAUUGACUGUGGGGCUUAAUAUUGAAUAAAAUAGCUGCUAUAGAUGCUCAAAAUAGGCAUAAUCAAAGGUUUUUACUCUCUGUGGCAUGUGUCAUGUUAGAACGGAAUUUUCACUGGAAGGUAGUAUGCCCUUGCAGAGAAAUCUUAGUCCCGGGUAAAAAGUGGGAAGAAACACCAAUGGAUCUAUAGCACAUCUCUAGCCAUAAGCAUUUCUCUCCUUUUUUUGGAAUCAGGACAUAAAUUGUCAAUUUAUGUUGUCUAAACUAAUGUAUUCUUCUUUCUCAAUCAUGUAUUCACUUAAAAAAUACACAAGGACAUAAUGACCAGUCUUUUUUCACCCAUUAUGUAAAUGUAGACAUAAUUUUUAUAGGGACAACUGGAAGAUCAUCUUUGUGAGAGACAGAGACAGACCUUGGAGCAAAACCUCAAGAUAAUGUUCCUCCAACAGCACCAUAAAACAGCUAUCUAUCUGACCUACUCACAAAAGAGGUCUUUUACUGCAUCCUUUGCCAAACUGUAUACUCUCACCUAGGUUUUUAAAACUUUCCUGAAAUUGAAUAGCUACGAUUAUAUUUACACUAUUUACCUCACAUUGUUGUUAGAAUCGAAUCAUCCAAUAAGUAGGGAGGUGUUUUAAGAAUAAUGCUAUCCAAAUGUAUUAUAACAAAGGAUGCUCUUAAAUGCCACAUUUUCCAAAAGAAUAGAAAAAUUAAAAAACUUUUAAAACACAGGAAAUACAGCAACUUAUAUAAAACCUUCAGGGAUAUGUAGGAAAUGUAAUGAGGAUACAUCUCUAAGAACAAAACAAAGGUAAGCAAAGCAAACUUAAAAAAAAUAGGGUCAGAUCCACAAAAUAUCUAUGAAACGAUCAUCAGAAAAGAACACUGCUAUAUUUUCCAUCUGUCAUCUCAGACUACCUAUGUCUCCAAUCAGACAUUAGGCUCUGUUUUACAGAUGAACCAAAUUCUACAGUUAGAAUGUUUGCUCCAAACACAGCUGGAUUAAGGAAGUGUCACAAAAUAUUAGAUUAUUUUAGAGCCAAGGGAAGUCUUUCCUCUUUACACAUAGUAUGAGAUUGCCCUAGGCUGGGUGCCAUGGCUCAGGCCUGUAAUCCCAGCACUUUGGGAGGCCAAGACAGGUGGAUCACUUGACGUUAGGAGUUAGAGACCAGCCUGGCCAACGUGGCAUAAUCCCAUCUCUAGUAAAAAUACAAAAAAAGAAAAAAUUAGCUGGGUGUGGUGGUGGGAGCCUGUAACCCCAGCUACUUGGGAGGCUGAGGCACAAGAAUCGCUUGAACCCAGGAGGCAGAGAUUGCAGUGAGCUGAAAUCAUGCCACUGCACUCCAGCCUAGGUGACAGGUGAGACUCUGUCUCAAAAAAAAAAAAAAAAAAAAAUUUGCAUACGGCUAAGCAGUUUUCCCAACACCAUUUAUUAAAUAGGGAAUCCUUUUCAUACUGCUUGUUUUUGUCAGGUUUGUCAAAGAUCAGGUGGUUGUAGCUGUGCUAUCUUAUUUCUGAGAUCUCUAUUCUGUUCCAUUGGUUUAUGUGUCUGUUUUGGUACCAUUACCAUGCUAUUUUGUUUACUGUAGACUUGUAGUAUAGUUUAAAGUCAUGUAGCAUGAGGUCUCCAGCUUUGUUCUUUUUACUUAGGAUUGUCUUAGUUAGACAGGCUCUUUUUUGAUUCCAUAUACAAUUUAAAGUAAUUUUUUCUAAUUCUGUGAAUAAUGUCAAUAGUAGUUUAAUGGGAAUAUCAUUUCUUUGGGCAGUAUGGCCAUUUUCAUGAUAUUGAUUUUUCCUAUCCAUGAGCAUGGAAUAUUUUUCCAUUUGUUUGUGCCCUCUCUUAUUUCCUUGAGCAGUGGUUUGUAGUUCUCCUUGAAAAGGUCGUUCACGUCCCUUGUUAGCUGUAUUCUUAGGUAUUUUAUUCUCUUUGUAGCAAUUGUGAAUGAGAGUUCAUUCAUGAUUUGGCUCUCUGCUUGUCUAUCGUUGGUGUAUAGGAAUGCUUGUGAUUUUUGCACAUUGAUUUUUGUAUCCUGAGACUUUGCUCAAUUUGCUUAUCAGCUUGAGGAGCUUUUGGGCUGAGUAGAUGGGGUUUUCUAGAUGUAGGAUCAUGUUGUCUGCAAACAGAGACCAUUUGAUUCCCUAUUUGAAUACUCUUUAUUUAUUUCUCUUGCCUGAUUGCCCUGGCCAGAACUUCCAAUACUAUGUCGAAUAGGAGUGGAGAAAGAGGGUAUCUUUGUCUUGUGCUGGUUUUCAAAGGGAAUGCUUCCAACCUUUGUCCGUUCAGUGUGAUAUUGUCUGUGGGUUUGUCAUAAAUGGGUCUCAUUAUUUUGAGAUAUAUUCCAUCAAUGCCUAGUUUAUUGAGAGUUUUUAAAAUGAAGGGAUAUUGAAUUUCGUCAAAAGCUUUUUCUGCAUCUAUUGAGAUAAUCAUGUGGCUUUUGUCAUUAGUUCUGUUUAUGUGAUGAAUUACGUUUAUUGAUUUACACAUGUUGAACCAGCCUUGAAUCCCAGGGAUGAAGCCAACUUGGAAAAAAAAAAAAAAAGAUUGCUCUUCUGAUUCACUGAAAUUGAAACAGAAAGAAAGAAAAACACAACUUAUUAGUCAAUAAUUUGAACUCCUCCUCUUAGCAGCAUCUCCUGGUCAGCAUUAUAAUAAUUAUUCAAAAGCAGUGAUUCUGAAUAUGCAAAAGCAGUGAUUCUGCAAAUACUCUCAGAAAUUCUCAGAUCAUUUGAAACAUCUACUAUAAGUUCUCAAAAUAAAUGAGAAAAUAUUACUGUAUUAUUUAAACAAAGUCCAUUUCUUUGUUAUAAACCACUGACUACACCCCAGGAAUACUUCAAGGAAGAAAGGACACAAGAAGAUUUCGGGCCUUUGCCCUCAAGGUUGGAGAAAUUAAGAUGUUUUUGAUUCAGGUUUCAACAAAUCAUCACUCUUCUAUGAAUACGCAACUAAGAAACUUCAACAAAAAUUAUAGUGAAAAAUAAACAUUGGUGUCCCAACUAAGGAACAUACAAACAUCAGGCUAGGCUUUCCAUACAACAGAAGAUCUUCAUCUAACUAAGCCAAGGUGAUGCUCUUGUAGGUCUGCAUAAGUCCUAAGAAAUGACUGUCUGUUUUCCUACUGUCUGUGUGAUUGAUUACACUGGAAAAUAGAACAGGUCUCCAGUAAGUAAUUACCAAACAUAUGAGUGACAUUUGAUGUAUAUGGGUUUAUUUGUUUGUUGUGCUUAAAGUCAACAUCCAGAGUAUAAAUAUGAACUAAAUUGUGUGCCAUAUUGUGAGAAAACUCAAAUGAGAAUGUUAAUUUAUAAGGAAGAAACCAUAAAUGUUACUAUUAAUUUUUUUGAAAAACAAAGCAUAGUAUUAUUAAAAUAAGUCAUAUCUCCUAGUACAUUUAAAACGUUUUUCAACAUUCAGCAACUCUUGGCCAUAGUAGUGCCAAUAAAUGUGUGUUGAAUUGAAUGUUUGAUCAAGAGACACUAAACAUGGAUGGAAUACUGUAUUGGGAUUCAAACCAUCUUUUCCUUGAACAAAUAAUACACAAAUAAUUUCCUCUCAGUUCAAUUUCUGUGAACAUUUAUUUGAACCACAA